rnacentral:rRNA from 1 species
CCCUUAGAUGUUCUGGGCUGCACGCGCGCUACACUGAUGCAUCCAACAAGUUUUUUCCUUGUUCGAGAGGACUAGGUAAUCUUUUGAGAAUGCAUCGUGAUGGGGAUAGAUUAUUGCAAUUAUUAAUCUUCAACGAGGAAUUCCUAGUAAGCGCGAGUCAUCAGCUCGUGCUGAUUACGUCCCUGCCCUUUGUACACACCGCCCGUCGCUGCAACUGAUUGGGUGACCUGGUGAACAUCUUGGACCGGUCCACUCAAUUUCGAGAGGACUGGAAAAGGCCGUAAAUCAGGUACAUCUAGAAAUCGCAAAAGUCGUAACA